rfam:Biomphalaria glabrata isolate BB02 unplaced genomic scaffold LGTN_random_Scaffold43, whole genome shotgun sequence.
AAAAGAGAUGAUGAUAUUUAUGCCGCCCCAGUCUGAUAUAAUUAUGACUGAUUGGAUUGAUCUGACUUAU